UCUUUUAUUCAGAAAAAUAUAUAAUAUAAUAUAUUAAUUUCUCUCUCUUCAGACUAUCAAGGUUCGUAGUUAUCUUCAUAUUCUUCACCAGCGAUUCUUUCCAGAUUGAUUUUCUAGCUUGCAAUUCUCUUCGCUGUUCAAAGCAAAAAAAUCUUCAGUGAUCGUUCCGAUUCUCCUCCGCCAUGGCUUACGAGGACGAUCCGUACCGAGACGAAAAUGGUGAGCCAUUGAUGGACUACGACGACGUUCCCUCCGAUCCCGAUCAAACCCCGGAGCCCAACCAGCACCUCCUAGAUGACGAUAUUCUUGACGAUGACGGUUGGCACGACAGGCGAGAGCGGUCGCAGACCCCGGUCCACGGCACGGAUGCGUCCGGCUCGAAAUCGAAGCCCAGAAAGAGGCUGAUCAAGAAAAGCCAGGUCGCUAGGGAGGAUGUUGUGGCGUCGGAAUUUGUCGAUGACGAGGAUGGCGAUAUUGAGGCUUUUAUUGGGGAUGGGUUAGAGGGCAAGAGGAAGAAGCUUGGUGGGAGCGGGAAGGACAAGAGACAUAAGGGGGAAAAGAACUUUGGGAACAAAGCUGGAUCGAGUUCGCGGUUGUCGAAGAGGGGGUUCUCAGAUAAGGCGGCGAGGGAACAGGAUGGUGAGGUCAAGGAGCUGUGGGAUACUAUUGCUGGUGGUGAUUCCGAGGAUGAUCAAGAGGGUGUCAGAACUAUGGAUGACGACAACUUUAUAGAUGACACUGGUGUAGAUGCUGCUGACCGGUAUGGUAGUGACAAUGAGCGACGCUCUCCUCGUUAUGCGCCUGAGGCGGAAGAGGUUGAUGAAGAUGAAGAAAUUGAUCAGCUUUUUAAGAUGGGUAAGAAAAGAAAGAAAAAUGAAAAAAGUCCUGCAGAAAUUGCACUGCUAGUUGAGAAUGUCAUGGCUGAGCUUGAGGUCACAGCUGAAGAGGAUGCGGAACUUAACAGACAGGGAAAACCUGCCAUUAAUAAACUCAAGAAGUUGCCUCUGCUUACUGAUGUUCUCUCAAAGAAACAGCUUCAACAGGAGUUCUUAGAUCAUGGAGUGUUAAAUUUAUUAAGGACCUGGCUUGAACCUCUUCCAGAUGGAAGUUUGCCAAAUAUUAAUAUUCGUGCAGCAAUUUUGAAGAUUUUGAAUGAUAUUCCAAUCGAUCUGGAACAGUAUGAUAGAAGAGAGCAACUGAAGAAGAGUGGUCUGGGAAAGGUCAUUAUGUUUUUGUCCAAAUCUGAUGAAGAAACCACAUCAAACAGAAAGCUUGCAAAGGAAUUAGUUGAUAAAUGGAGUCGACCAAUAUUUAAUAAAAGUACGAGGUUCGAGGACAUGAGAAAUGUUGAGGAUGAGAGAGUUCCAUACCGAAGGCCUAUGGUCAAAAAGCCAGUGAAUAACUCAGCCAGAAUGGAAUCUAGAGAUGGUGAUAUGGAAUUAGAUGAAUUUUCUAGGGAGCGCAAAUCUGGUCAAUCAUCAUCUAGACAACUCACUACAAGGCCAGAAGCAACUCCAAUGGAUUUUGUUGUACGCCCACAGUCUAAGAUUGAUCCAGACGAAAUUAGAGCCCGUGCUAAACAAGGAAUACAGGACCAGCGCCGGUUGAAGAUGAAUAAAAAGUUGCAGCAACUAAAGGCACCGAAGAAGAAGCGGCUUCAAGCCACAAAAAUUAGUGUGGAGGGUCGUGGUAUGGUGAAGUACUUGUAAUAAUGUGAUGAAAGCUUGAAUAAUUGGAAGAGGGUCUCCUGGUAUGAUCUUUUCAAGUUGUGCCAAUUUGUCGUCUGGUAAACGAGCAUUAGAUUAAAUCGCCACAAGCUUGAAGCAACAAGUAGCAGGAGGAUUUAAAGAUGUCUUGCUGUUGUAUGUGGCUGAAGCAAAGGAAGAGAAUCUCUGUGCCACUGUUUAUGGUACUCUAUAAUGCAUUUCUCACAGAAGGCUCCUUCUGCCUUCCUGUUCCUGGAUUGGGUGCUCUAAAUACGAUCACUCAAGAAGGUAACUUGUAGGAAACUCUCUUUCUUUGUAGCACCAAUAACCUACCACCUCUGUUGAUGACACGUGUGAGUCUUAAAGUUUGGAAGCUCUCGUGAUACUUUUGUUGACGAUGCGUGCAAGACUUGAAGCAGAUUUGAGAAUGACUUGGGACUAAGUAGGGUUCUUCCAAGUUCGACGGCGAUCUACACUAGGUUGAGGUUCGAUUUGCACCAGGAGGCCAUUUCGACCUAGAUCUGGGCUCGGGGCACGAUGGGUCAGCAACGACUUCAACCUUCAAGCACGGAGGUCGAUGACAACUAUUUCGACGUUGAAUCUGGGUCGAGGUCCUCUGAUUGCGAUGGGAAGUUCUUGUUUUUUAUUUUUUUUCCUUUUGUUCAAACCUGUAAAAUUUAUCUGGGUUUUGAUUUGAUUUUCUGUGUAGGAAGUUUAGAAGGGAAUUUUUUUUUUUUUUUUUGGGUUUUGUGAAGACAUAAUUUGAUUUGUGUUUGUUCUUGGGUUUAAUUGUCUAGUUUUAUUGGUUUUUGUUGAUUUUUUUUUUCAUUAAGGUUUUUGAGUUUGUUGCUGUCUGACUUUGGAUUGUAUAUGUUUAUGAGUUUUUGUUGGGUGA